rnacentral:snRNA from 1 species
GUACUCACUUGGGCAGGUCAUAUACUGAAAUUGGAGUUAGCACAGCCCCUGUGCAAGGAUGACAAGCAAAUCUGUGAAGCGUUUCAUAUUUUU